rnacentral:tRNA from 1 species
CAAAGUGUAGCUUAUAAAAAGCACCUGGCCUACGCCCAGAAGAUUCCAUACAAAGUGGCCACUUUGA